CAACUUUCAGCAACGGAUCUCUUGGCUCUCGCAUCGAUGAAGAACGCAGCGAAAUGCGAUAAGUAAUGUGAAUUGCAGAAUUCAGUGAAUCAUCGAAUUUUUGAACGCAUCUUGCGCUCCUUGGUAUUCUGAGGAGCAUGCCUGUUUGAGUGUCAUUA
rnacentral:rRNA from 3 species